rnacentral:snRNA from 1 species
AUACUUACCUGGACGGGGUCGAUGGGUGAUCAAGAAUACCCAUGACCUAGAUCAAUGGUCCACAUUACACUUGGUGAAUGCGUUGCUCAAAUAGGAGGGUGGACGUCAUAAUUUGUAACAAAGGGGGUAUGCAUCCGCGUGGCCCCUA